rnacentral:rRNA from 1 species
CCUACGGGAGGCAGCAGUGAGGAAUAUUGGUCAAUGGACGAGAGUCUGAACCAGCCAAGUAGCGUGAAGGAUGACUGCCCUAUGGGUUGUAAACUUCUUUUAUAUGGGAAUAAAAUGUUCCACGUGUGGGAUUUUGUAUGUACCAUAUGAAUAAGGAUCGGCUAACUCCGUGCCAGCAGCCGCGGUAAUACGGAGGAUCCGAGCGUUAUCCGGAUUUAUUGGGUUUAAAGGGAGCGUGGGUGGAUUGUUAAGUCAGUUGUGAAAGUUUGCGGCUCAACCGUAAAAUUGCAGUUGAAACUGGCAGUCUUGAGUACAGUAGAGGUGGGCGGAAUUCGUGGUGUAGCGGUGAAAUGCUUAGAUAUCACGAAGAACUCCGAUUGCGAAGGCAGUUCACUGGACUGCAACUGACACUGAGGCUCGAAAGUGUGGGUAUCAAACAGGAUUAGAUACCCCAGUAGUC